AGCGAGCGCUGCAUUUGCUGGCGAGCAGACAGCUUGGGUGCAAAAGACCCUUGGCAGAGCCACCUGGGUUAUUUUUGGAAAUGAAACACGCAGACCGUUUCCUGUCUGCCCAGAGAGAACAAACAACCCAGCACUCAAACCUAGAGGCUAGCAAAGCCCAAACUUAAAGGGAAAUCGCUUAGGGAAGGUCUGAGACUUUGUCACAAUUUCCACCACUUGGCUGUCCUGUCUUUCUCCAAGCAGCACAGCGAGCAAUGCCCUUGCCAAGGUAUCCCAGCUCCUAAAACAGGGGAGCCUCGCCAGCACAGCAAAGUUCAGGAGAGACCCCGGAGAGCACCGUGGAUUCUCCUUCCUUCCUGGCACUUUGGGGGAGGUCGGAGAGAGACUGGAACUUCACCAAACCAGCGCACUGGCCACACAUCAAGGGACCACCUCAGGGUCCCAGCAGCCGCCGGGGGACUCGCUCCUAGGAACGGCAUGAAGCCUUUCACCCGGGGAAUUCGAGCCUGCCUUAGACUAUCCAACCCGUGCCGAGCCGGGGAAGCCCACCCAGCUCCAGGUACCAAGGCUCCCAGGGAACUUUGGAGAAGAGCAAGGGAGGGACAGUAGCAGCCUUGGCAUUAUUAUUUGUAUGCAGCAGUCCCACGCAGGCCGGGGGCUCCUUGUGCUAGGAGAUGUACCCAGAAUGGAAGAGAAUCUCUGCCCCAAACAGAAACGGACAAAUAAGUAGCGGUUGAGAAGCUGAACAUUUUUUCCUCUCUCCACACUGUCGUGCAGCAUGGUGUUCUGGGUGGCCAUUGUCCAUCCCACAGGAGGCUGCAUCUCAGGGUUCUUAGCUACAUCGUUUGUGAAGCCUUUGGCAUGAGACGUGCCAACAGGAAAUGCAAAACACUUUCCCUUUGUUUAUUUUUGUGAUCUAUUUGCGGAGAAGAAAGGAUUCCCACACGGCAAUUGCUCUAGUACAAGGGGGUGUGAUGUUUUAUUAUUGCCAUCGUGCGUAUUUUAUCUGAGCGCUCGGUGUGUCUCACCCUUCUCUGGGGUGCUGCAAGAAAGCGUGAAAUCUAUUUCAACAUCCUGCCCGGGCCGCAACUCAGAAAGUGAAGAUGUCCUGAAUAUACAACCCUCUCCCAAAACAAGUGGCAAAAGGUCUGGCUCCAAUUACUGGAGUCCACAGGUGGGAGUGGAAAAUGGUUACACAAGAGCAAUACAAAAAUAGAGAUGGGAGAAACCGAAUCUGCUGAGCAAUGGGAGGUCAUUUAAUAGGAGAUGCUUGUGACUGUGUGUACUACCACUGGAAAAUACCCCAGCUCCAGCUCAGGUCACCUCUGUGGCUCUAUUUAUACUGAUGUAAUUAGCAAUGCCAUAUUCAGGUAGCACAGCUCAAGGGAAAGCUCACACAGGGAGAGCCAUUCUGUUUGGUCCCUGCAUAUGGACUUGUACACACUGGAUUUGAAAAUAAAGUUAGUAAUUAAAA